GACGAACGCUGGCGGCGUGCCUAAUACAUGCAAGUAGAACGCACAGUUUAUACCGUAGCUUGCUACACCAUAGACUGUGAGUUGCGAACGGGUGAGUAACGCGUAGGUAACCUGCCUGGUAGCGGGGGAUAACUAUUGGAAACGAUAGCUAAUACCGCAUAAUAUUGAUUAUUGCAUGAUAAUUGAUUGAAAGAUGCUAUUGCAUCACUACCAGAUGGACCUGCGUUGUAUUAGCUAGUAGGUGAGGUAACGGCUCACCUAGGCGACGAUACAUAGCCGACCUGAGAGGGUGAUCGGCCACACUGGGACUGAGACACGGCCCAGACUCCUACGGGAGGCAGCAGUAGGGAAUCUUCGGCAAUGGACGAAAGCCUGACCGAGCAACGCCGCGUGAGUGAAGAAGGUUUUCGGAUCGUAAAGCUCUGUUGUAAGAGAAGAACGGGUGUGAGAGUGGAAAGGUCACACUGUGACGGUAUCUUACCAGAAAGGGACGGCUAACUACGUGC
rnacentral:rRNA from 1 species